UCAGUCCUCCAGGUGACACCUGGGCUCUUUUCUGCCUGAACAGCAUUUCCCACCAACGGCCACAGCAGUCGGUCAGUGUCCUCUUGAGCACCUCCUGAAGCUGCAGUGUCAUUUGCUGUUUGCCCUAAAAAGCCACGCCCAGAUUUCUUCUACCGCUGCUUCCCUGAUGGGCUAGCCCAUUCUGACUUGAUGUGUACAGGGGAUAAGGACGUGGUGAAUGAGGGCCGAAAGAGCUUCCCCAGUGGACAUUCUUCCUGUAUGAAUAUCAUAUGGACUCUACCCUAUGCUUGUUUUCACAUCAUUGAAUUUAACCUAGAAAGCUAGUAGGGAUGGGAAAAUCUGACUACUCUUGUUUCUACAAUUUGGAAAAUCCCCCCUUCUUUAGUAACUCCACAGUUUAACAAGUCUGAGCCUUGACUAUUUGGGUAAAUAUUACAGAACAGAAAGGUAGUUUACCUUCAUGAGAUUUGCACAUUUAAUUGUUAUAUUAUUUGCCUAGAUCCUGCAAUCUUGUACUAGCAAUAAAAAUACCUUUAACGAAGA
rnacentral:lncRNA from 10 species